rnacentral:lncRNA from 1 species
GCAAGUUACUUGGUUUGUCUGACUGCAUUUCCUGAAGUACUUGUGAUAUCAAACUGUUUGACAGAGAUCCUGGAGAGAUGAAAAAGGAGGAAGCCGCUGCAGAAAAUGCUGUGACCAAAGAAGUAUUUCAGGGUGUUUGUUGAAGACUGGCUGCAGCUCCUGGGGCUUGGCCACAGAAUGGAAAGGAACAAUCACUGAGCAGCCCUCAGCUGUUAGUGUACAGGCUCUUAAACAGAAAACGCAGCAGUGAAUACAAAUCGUGUGACUAAGCCGAGAGGUCUCAAACGAAGCUA